rnacentral:rRNA from 1 species
UACAGAGGGUGCAAGCGUUGUUCGGAAUUAUUGGGCGUAAAGCGCGUGUAGGCGGCUUUGCAAGUCGGGUGUGAAAUCCCUCAGCUCAACUGAGGAAGUGCGCCCGAAACUGCAGAGCUUGAGUACCGGAGAGGAUGGCGGAAUUCCCCAAGUAGAGGUGAAAUGCGCAGAUAUCAGGAGGAACACCGGUGGCGAAGGCGCCACUCUGGGCCGAAACUGACGCUGAGGAGCGAAAGCGUGGGUAGCAAACAGG